AUAAGGUCUAACCUGCCCACUGAAUUUUGUUUGAAGGGCCGCAGUAUUUUGACUGUGCAAAGGUAGCAUAAUCAUUAGUCUUUUAAUUGAAGGCUGGUAUGAAUGGUUGGACGAGAUACAAGCUGUGUCAUAAAAAUUAAAAUUUGAAUUUAUCUUUUUAGUUAAAAGACUAAAAUAAAAUUAAAAGACGAGAAGACCCUAUAGAGCUUUAUAUAAUUAAUAUUUAAAUUAUUAAGAUUUUUUAAAUUAAAAUAUUAUUUUAUAUUUUGUUGGGGUGACAAUAAAAUUUAUAAAACUUUUAUUUUUAUUAAACAUUAAUCUAUGAUUAAAUGAUCCAGUUUUAUUGAUUAUAAAUUUAAGUUACCUUAGGGAUAACAGCGUAAUUUUUUUUGAGAGUUCUUAUCGACAAAAAAGAUUGCGACCUCGAUGUUGGAUUAAGAGUAAUUUUGGGUGUAGAAGUUCAAAAU
rnacentral:rRNA from 1 species